GAUGCAGGGCAAGUGUUGUGCACGGGGCCUGCUGCUGGGGACAGCACCUGCCACUGGGGCCUCGUGCGUUCGUCAUCAGCUGUUGCGAUUGGCCCAGCAUCUAGAUAGUAUCUGGAAAAUUGAAUGUGACCCUUUUCGUGGACUCAGCCUCGGCAGAGGGGCAUGAAUUUUCUGAGACAAUAGCCCACCAAGAUGUGGCCUCAGAGCCCUUGAAGGAAUGAUGUGUGAAAGAUCACACUACCUGCUCAGAUUAUGGAAGACUCUGUUUCCAA
rnacentral:lncRNA from 1 species